CAGCCGCCACGGUAAUACAGAGGGUGCGAGCGUUAAUCGGAUUUACUGGGCGUAAAGCGUGCGUAGGCGGCUUUUUAAGUCGGAUGUGAAAUCCCUGAGCUUAACUUAGGAAUUGCAUUCGAUACUGGGAAGCUAGAGUAUGGGAGAGGAUGGUAGAAUUCCAGGUGUAGCGGUGAAUGCGUAGAGAUCUGGAGGAAUACCGAUGGCGAAGGCAGCCAUCUGGCCUAAUACUGACGCUGAGGUACGAAAGCAUGGGGAGCAAACAGGAUUAGAUACCCCAGUAGUCCCUGUCUCUUAUACA
rnacentral:rRNA from 1 species